rnacentral:rRNA from 1 species
UACGGGGGGAGCAAGCGUUGUUCGGAUUUACUGGGCGUAAAGGGCGCGUAGGCGGCCACGACAAGUCAGUUGUGAAAUCUCUGGGCUUAACUCAGAACGGUCAACUGAUACUGUCGGGCUAGAGUGCAGAAGGGGCAACUGGAAUUCUCGGCGUAGCGGUGAAAUGCGUAGAUAUCGAGAGGAACACCUGCGGCGAAGGCGGGUUGCUGGGCUGACACUGACGCUGAGGCGCGAAAGCUAGGGGAGCAAACGGG